rnacentral:rRNA from 1 species
AAGGGAGCUUGCUCCCGGAUGUUAGCGGCGGACGGGUGAGUAACACGUGGGUAACCUGCCUGUAAGACUGGGAUAACUCCGGGAAACCGGAGCUAAUACCGGAUAGUUCCUUGAACCGCAUGGUUCAAGGAUGAAAGACGGUUUCGGCUGUCACUUACAGAUGGACCCGCGGCGCAUUAGCUAGUUGGUGGGGUAAUGGCUCACCAAGGCGACGAUGCGUAGCCGACCUGAGAGGGUGAUCGGCCACACUGGGACUGAGACACGGCCCAGACUCCUACGGGAGGCAGCAGUAGGGAAUCUUCCGCAAUGGACGAAAGUCUGACGGAGCAACGCCGCGUGAGUGAUGAAGGUUUUCGGAUCGUAAAGCUCUGUUGUUAGGGAAGAACAAGUGCGAGAGUAACUGCUCGCACCUUGACGGUACCUAACCAGAAAGCCACGGCUAACUACGUGCCAGCAGCCGCGGUAAUACGUAGGUGGCAAGCGUUGUCCGGAAUUAUUGGGCGUAAAGGGCUCGCAGGCGGUUUCUUAAGUCUGAUGUGAAAGCCCCCGGCUCAACCGGGGAGGGUCAUUGGAAACUGGGAAACUUGAGUGCAGAAGAGGAGAGUGGAAUUCCACGUGUAGCGGUGAAAUGCGUAGAGAUGUGGAGGAACACCAGUGGCGAAGGCGACUCUCUGGUCUGUAACUGACGCUGAGGAGCGAAAGCGUGGGGAGCGAACAGGAUUAGAUACCCUGGUAGUCCACGCCGUAAACGAUGAGUGCUAAGUGUUAGGGGGUUUCCGCCCCUUAGUGCUGCAGCUAACGCAUUAAGCACUCCGCCUGGGGAGUACGGUCGCAAGACUGAAACUCAAAGGAAUUGACGGGGGCCCGCACAAGCGGUGGAGCAUGUGGUUUAAUUUCGAAGCAACGCGAAGAACCUUACCAGGUC